AGAUUUCUUUUGGUGCCUGUGUCUUUAUUGUCAUAUUUAAGAAAUCAUUGCCAAAUGCAAUGUCAUUAAGAUUUUCUAUAUGUUUUCUUCUAAGAUUUUUAUACUUUUGGCUCUUACAGAUAAGUCUUUGCACCCAGCCGAAAUAAUCUUUAAAAUUUUUUUUCAUUCUGUUUUCUGGUGUAUGUAUAUUUUCUUUAUUUUUUAAAAACUAUCCAUGGUGGAAAGCUAUAAUUUCUUUAAAAGUUCAUUAAAAUGUUUUUACUUAAACAAUCAAAAAGUAAACUAUAAAAGUUGAAGGCUAGUAAAGGGUUAACUAAAGAACAAUAAUAAUUCAAGUGAUAGCUAGGACUGGAGCUGGCAUGGGGAAGCGUUAAGGUCUUUUCUUUUACCAGGAAUAAGAAAAUGACCACAUUUGGAGUUAAUAAGUUCAGCGCCCUCUCAGCAAAGUUGCUGUGGUGGGGUUUGUUUCUU
rnacentral:lncRNA from 1 species